rnacentral:rRNA from 1 species
CUGUGAGCUCGAUGAGUAGGGCGGGACACGUGGUAUCCUGUCUGAAUAUGGGGGGACCAUCCUCCAAGGCUAAAUACUCCUGACUGACCGAUAGUGAACCAGUACCGUGAGGGAAAGGCGAAAAGAACCCCGGCGAGGGGAGUGAAAAAGAACCUGAAACCGUGUACGUACAAGCAGUGGGAGCACGCAGGCGUGUGACUGCGUACCUUUUGUAUAAUGGGUCAGCGACUUAUAUUCUGUAGCAAGGUUAACCGAAUAGGGGAGCCGAAGGGAAACCGAGUCUUAACUGGGCGUUAAGUUGCAGGGUAUAGACCCGAAACCCGGUGAUCUAGCCAUGGGCAGGUUGAAGGUUGGGUAACACUAACUGGAGGACCGAACCGACUAAUGUUGAAAAAUUAGCGGAUGACUUGUGGCUGGGGGUGAAAGGCCAAUCAAACCGGGAGAUAGCUGGUUCUCCCCGAAAGCUAUUUAGGUAGCGCCUCGUGAAUUCAUCUCCGGGGGUAGAGCACUGUUUCGGCAAGGGGGUCAUCCCGACUUACCAACCCGAUGCAAACUGCGAAUACCGGAGAAUGUUAUCACGGGAGACACACGGCGGGUGCUAACGUCCGUCGUGAAGAGGGAAACAACCCAGACCGCCAGCUAAGGUCCCAAAGUCAUGGUUAAGUGGGAAACGAUGUGGGAAGGCCCAGACAGCCAGGAUGUUGGCUUAGAAGCAGCCAUCAUUUAAAGAAAGCGUAAUAGCUCACUGGUCGAGUCGGCCUGCGCGGAAGAUGUAACGGGGCUAAACCAUGCACCGAAGCUGCGGCAGCGACGCU